GGCAGUGAGUAUUUUCCCAACGUGUGAGCAAACUUGGACGUGGACUUGGGAUCCGCGGCCUGUUGCUGCAGGAGGCCUGUUCUGGAAGCCUCGGGAGGAUGGAGCAACUGGGGUUGGGUUCAGGGGAGUCGUGUGCACUGGCUUCCGU
rnacentral:lncRNA from 12 species